rnacentral:rRNA from 1 species
AUUGAACGCUGGCGGCAGGCUUAACACAUGCAAGUCGAGCGGAGCGAGGGUGCUUGCACCUUAGCUUAGCGGCGGACGGGUGAGUAAUGCUUAGGAAUCUGCCUAUUAGUGGGGGACAACAUUCCGAAAGGAAUGCUAAUACCGCAUACGCCCUACGGGGGAAAGCAGGGGAUCUUCGGACCUUGCGCUAAUAGAUGAGCCUAAGUCGGAUUAGCUAGUUGGUGGGGUAAAGGCCUACCAAGGCGACGAUCUGUAGCGGGUCUGAGAGGAUGAUCCGCCACACUGGGCCUUAGGCUCGGCCCAGACGCCUACGGAAGGCAGCAGUGGGGAAUAUUGGACAAUGGGCGGAAGCCUGAUCCAGCCAUGCCGCGUGUGUGAAGAAGGCCUUUUGGUUGUAAAGCACUUUAAGCGAGGAGGAGGCUACUUAGAUUAAUACUCUGGGAUAGUGGACGUUACUCGCAGAAUAAGCACCGGCUAACUCUGUGCCAGCCGCCGCGGUAA